rnacentral:rRNA from 1 species
GUAUCAUGGCUCAGGACGAACGCUGGCGGCGUGCCUAACACAUGCAAGUCGAACGGAGAAUUUUAUUUCGGUAGAAUUCUUAGUGGCGAACGGGUGAGUAACGCGUAGGCAACCUGCCCUUUAGACGGGGACAACAUUCCGAAAGGAGUGCUAAUACCGGAUGUGAUCAUCGUGCCGCAUGGCAGGAUGAAGAAAGGAUGGCCUCUACAAGUAAGCUAUCGCUAAAGGAUGGG